CACUGGGUCACAGAUCAAGUAACCCUGCCACAUACAACUGUGGUAAUACAGUUUCAAACAUCGAGGUAUAUUUGGCACACUGGGUCACAGAUCAAGUAACCCUGCCACAUACAACUGUGGUAAUACAGUUUCAAACAUCGAGGUAUAUUUGGCACACUGGGUCACAGAUCAAGUAACCCUGCCACAUACAACUGUGGUAAUACAGUUUCAAACAUCGAGGUAUAUUUGGCACACUGGGUCACAGAUCAAGUAACCCUGCCACAUACAACUGUGGUAAUACAGUUUCAAACAUCGAGGGAUAUUUGGCACACUGGGUCACAGAUCAAGUAACCCUGCCACAUACAACUGUGGUAAUACAGUUUCAAACAUCGAGGUAUAUUUGGCACACUGGGUCACAGAUCAAGUAACCCUGCCACAUACAACUGUGGUAAUACAGUUUCAAACAUCGAGG